AGUCAUGUAUCAGAUUGCCAACAUAAUUCAUUCCUUCUGGCUUCUGAAAUAAAAAACAAUUGUUCCAGACACGUAAAGACUAACAUUUUUGAAUUCGUAAUUGUCCAAUCCAAAAUGUGCAAUUUUAUUUGCUUAUUUAUCUAUUUAAAUGUUAUGUAUUUAUUGGUGACGUAAUUAAACGUAAAAUUACAGGUUCUAAGAAAAUGGUUUCAAUUCGUUAAUUCUAGGCAUACCUAUGUAAUUUAUUGGUUUUUCCUUGGUCUCAGUUGGCGAUUUAUCUGUUGAUACCUGAUUUUCAAGAUAUCCUGGCAUAACGGGGAAAUUAAAUACUGAAGUAACAGUGUUAACGAUGAACUACAUUUAUAGCGGCUCUAACAAUUAAAUGUUUCUAAUUUAA